rnacentral:tRNA from 1 species
GGGUAGGUGGCUGAAUAUAAUAGGUGAUGCACUGUAAAUGCAUUUAUGGGAGAUAAUCUCUCUGCCCA